rnacentral:tRNA from 1 species
CCUGGUGGCUCAGAUGGUAAAGCAUCUGCCUACAAAGCUGGAGACCUGGGUUCGAUCCCUGGGUCAGGA